rnacentral:rRNA from 1 species
GAUGAACGCUGGCGGCGUGCCUAAUACAUGCAAGUCGAGCGAACAGAUAAGGAGCUUGCUCCUUUGACGUUAGCGGCGGACGGGUGAGUAACACGUGGGUAACCUACCUAUAAGACUGGGAUAACUUCGGGAAACCGGAGCUAAUACCGGAUAACAUUUGGAACCGCAUGGUUCUAAAGUGAAAGAUGGUUUUGCUAUCACUUAUAGAUGGACCCGCGCCGUAUUAGCUAGUUGGUAAGGUAACGGCUUACCAAGGCGACGAUACGUAGCCGACCUGAGAGGGUGAUCGGCCACACUGGAACUGAGACACGGUCCAGACUCCUACGGGAGGCAGCAGUAGGGAAUCUUCCGCAAUGGGCGAAAGCCUGACGGGGCAACGCCGCGUGAGUGAUGAAGGGUUUCGGCUCGUAAAACUCUGUUAUUAGGGAAGAACAAACGUGUAAGUAACUGUGCACGUCUUGACGGUACCUAAUCAGAAAGCCACGGCUAACUACGUG